CAGUCGAGCGACGGAUAAGGAGCUUGCUCCUUUGAAGUUAGCGGCGGACGGGUGAGUAACACGUGGGUAACCUACCUAUAAGACUGGAAUAACUUCGGGAAACCGGAGCUAAUGCCGGAUAACAUUUGGAACCGCAUGGUUCUAAAGUAAAAGAUGGUUUUGCUAUCACUUAUAGAUGGACCCGCGCCGUAUUAGCUAGUUGGUAAGGUAACGGCUUACCAAGGCAACGAUACGUAGCCGACCUGAGAGGGUGAUCGGCCACACUGGAACUGAGACACGGUCCAGACUCCUACGGGAGGCAGCAGUAGGGAAUCUUCCGCAAUGGACGAAAGUCUGACGGAGCAACGCCGCGUGAGUGAUGAAGGUUUUCGGAUCGUAAAACUCUGUUAUUAGGGAAGAACAAAUGUGUAAGUAACUGUGCACAUCUUGACGGUACCUAAUCAGAAAGCCACGGCUAACUACGUGCCAGCAGCCGCGGUAAUACGUAGGUGGCAAGCGUUAUCCGGAAUUAUUGGGCGUAAAGCGCGCGUAGGCGGUUUCUUAAGUCUGAUGUGAAAGCCCACGGCUCAACCGUGGAGGGUCAUUGGAAACUGGGAAACUUGAGUACAGAAGAGGAAAGUGGAAUUCCAUGUGUAGCGGUGAAAUGCGCAGAGAUAUGGAAGGAACACCAGUGGCGAACGCGACUUUCUGGUCUGUAACUGACGCUGAUGUGCGAAAGCGUGGGGAUCAAACAGGAUUAGAUACCCUGGUCAGUCCACGCCGUACACGAUGA
rnacentral:rRNA from 1 species